GCAUUGGUGGUUGAGCGGUAGAGUUCUCAACUUUCAUACUGGAGACCCUGGUUCAAUUCCCGGCCAAUGCA
rnacentral:tRNA from 1 species